GCCUGGGUGGCGAAAUUGGUAGACGCAGUUGAUUCAAAAUCAACCGCCUUCGGGUGUGCCGGUUCGAGUCCGGCCCUAGGCACCU
rnacentral:tRNA from 1 species